AAAAAAGAAAAGAAAAAAUACCUCUUUCGACGUUUCUUCUCCUUUCUCAGAUGUUGAAGCAAUUUCCGUGGAGAUCUGAAGCUACAGAAAUCAAAAAUCCAUUCUGUUAAAUGCUGUAACAAUUGCUUGAAGAGGUGAAUACUGAGGGUAGCAAAUCGUAUUUGGAAACAGAGUCAAACCGAUGGUUAGAAAAUCGGUGGAUUCACCAAGGACUUCUUCUAUUCCGAUCUCUUAAGAUACGAAAUCAACAGUGAGAAGAACGAUGAGUUUGAGAUGGUUGUCGAUUUUGUCUUUUCAGAUAUCUUUGACAAAGUGUUAAUAAGAUUUGAAAGACAAUAAACGAUUGGAAUGGUUUAUAAUAGUCCGAAGAAGAUCCGGCGCAGGGGUCAAUAUCUGAUAUUUUAAAAUUGAUUCGGAAACAUCUCUGCAAAAACAACAGCCAAAUAACACUGGAAACAAAUAGAAAAAUAUAUUUUUGAAGAAUUAUUAACCAGUUCCAGGUACAAAGAUUAUGAAUUUCAUUCUUAUAAGAAGAUAACAAUCACUUUAAUAUUAAAGAUAAGUUAUUUUUUUAAACUUUGUUUUCUCUUACAUCAGUAUAUAAUUUGUGUUUCAUCUACCAAAAAGAAAUAAAACUUUUAUUGGGUUUUGUUUGCAGGAGAGAUAAAGAGAUGAUUCAGAAAGGAACUAAUAUCAUAAGUACAACAUACCUGAAGGAAGAUAAGUUUUACAGACUUUGACUUGCAUUUUAAACUCAUGUUGUUCUUCAAAAGUAUCAACUGCAGGCUAAUGUUGGUUACUAUUUUUUUCAAUCUCUAUCUGACAGUUGUAUAAUGAUGAAGGACAUGCGCCAAAGUACAACCAAAGCUUUACAGUACAAAAGAUAAGUCUCCGACUAUAGCUUUAUUUUAUUUGGUUAUAAAUGAGAGAACAUUGUGUAUUUUUUUUAAGAUUUUAAUGCGAUGAUUUAACAGUAUAGAUACAAUUCGUGUUCAAGUCGUGCAUUGGCAUCUUUAGAAACAGAGCUGUAUUGGGAAUUGGAUGACAUGGGACAGAGAUAAAACACUUCAUCAAUACGAUUAAUCAAGAGCAGUGAUGCCUCAAAUGCAUUGGUGAUUUGGAGUUCACCUGCAUCGAAUAUAUAGGAAUGAUCGGUUGAUCGAUAGGAUCCAUUUGCAGGACUGAGGUUGAAAUUCUGAAUCCACCUCCAUGCGCCAACAUGAAGAAGGCUUUACUCUCCAUGAGUUUCAAAGGCGACCCGUAAUCCGCACGUGGUUUCCGUUUGUCCAAAGGCCCGUAAUCCGCACGUGGUUUCCGAUUGUCAACCAUCUAAUCCCCUUGGCCUGGAACCAGCCGGCACUAAUACCCAUUACCCAAGGACCCGGCACCAACGCCGCGUUAACUUUAAACUUGGGGUGGGCAUAAAGCAUUCCGUGACCACAGGGAGUAUCGAACUCGGGUCCGUAUCGGUUGUGGUAACUACCUCAAGACCACUAGCCCACCACUCCGUGGUUCUGAAAUUUACCUUAUGUUGGACCAUCUGAUUAACCUCAUUAUUUUAGUAUGUAUUGUUACAUUAUUUAUCUUUUCGUUUUUUUUUUUGAACUUUGAAGGUGAUAUAGAGUCUGAAUGUUUUUUUUU